rnacentral:rRNA from 1 species
AGUCUAUGCCAUACCACUCUGAAUGUGCCUGCUCCCCUCUGGUCUGGGAAGCUAAGCAAGGCUAGCAUGGUUAGUACUCGGAAGGGAGAAGACAACAUAAAUCU